GUGGUUUGGAUUCCCUGGGCGAUCGCUUUUUCUUUCCGGUGGGACUUCACAAGAAGUGCCUUGGAGACCACUUUGCCUGCGUAAAUUGUGUUCGUUGCCUUGUCUGUGAGCACAUAGCACUUGGCGAAGCCGCCCUGC
rnacentral:lncRNA from 1 species